rnacentral:rRNA from 1 species
UACGUAGGGGGCAAGCGUUGUCCGGAAUCAUUGGGCGGAAAGCGCGUGUAGGCGGCCCGGUAAGUCCGCUGUGAAAGUCCAGGGCUCAACCCUGGAAUGCCGGUGGAUACUGUCGGGCUCGAGUCCGGAAGAGGCGAGUGGAAUUCCUGGUGUAGCGGUGAAAUGCGCAGAUAUCAGGAGGAACACCGAUGGCGAAGGCAGCUCGCUGGGACGGUACUGACGCUGAGACGCGAAAGCGUGGGGAGCAAACAGG